UUUGGGGACGGUGUUUACAGACUGAACUGAUUCUUCUCUGUCGGCCGCCCUGCCUGCUCUUAGCUGGGUUUCCGAGCCGCCUCCGAAGUUUUCCAGCUAGGUUCAGGGGGAAAAAAAAAAAAACAAAAAACAAAAAAAAACGAAAACACAGCUCAGGAAGGCUCCACCAGCCAAUGCCUAUGCCAGUCCACCUCUGGCAGUGGCUGUACUGCUGGUCCACACAACAGCCAAGACCAGCUCCACGUUCUUCCUCCCACUCAGUUCACUGGAGCCGGGAGCCCUGCACUCGGGGGAAGGGCCUCAGCUCUACAGACUGCCAAAGUCGGCUGGGUCCCUCCGCUCCAAAAAUGGUGAGAAAGGAACUCAUCUUUUUCCGCAGAGGAAUCUGAAGCAG
rnacentral:lncRNA from 1 species